rnacentral:rRNA from 1 species
ACUCCUACGGGAGGCAGCAGUAGGGAAUCUUCCACAAUGGGCGCAAGCCUGAUGGAGCAACACCGCGUGAGUGAAGAAGGGUUUCGGCUCGUAAAGCUCUGUUGUUAAAGAAGAACACGUAUGAGAGUAACUGUUCAUACGUUGACGGUAUUUUAACCAGAAAGUCACGGCUAACUACGUGCCAGCAGCCGCGGUAAUACGUAGGUGGCAAGCGUUAUCCGGAUUUAUUGGGCGUAAAGAGAGUGCAGGCGGUUUUCUAAGUCUGAUGUGAAAGCCUUCGGCUUAACCGGAGAAGUGCAUCGGAAACUGGAUAACUUGAGUGCAGAAGAGGGUAGUGGAACUCCAUGUGUAGCGGUGGAAUGCGUAGAUAUAUGGAAGAACACCAGUGGCGAAGGCGGCUACCUGGUCUGGCAACUGACGCUGAGACUCGAAAGCAUGGGUAGCGAACAGGAUUAGAUACCCUGGUAGGAUAGCG